UGCAACCAGAGAUAACAGCCAGCGCCUGGCCGCCAUCGAGACGCCACAGCCUGCUUCCCACCCCUCUGGAUUUAGCAGAAAUGGGCUGCAAUGUCAGCGCUGACACACCGCUCGGGUUGGGCUCUGCUGUGCUGCACGCGCCCAGGCAUCACACAGGUUAGAGGUGUUACUGGACAGGCUUUCCAGGAUCUUUUGCAUCACAGCCCAGAGGCAGCUUUAUACCAGUACAAAGAGGUCCUCACAGACCUGCUUCUGUGUUGGUACGCAGUUUUUGGAAGGGAGAAACGGGGAGCUGAUUCCAGCCCCGGAGCAGCUGUUUAUUCAAGUGGUACCAGUGGAUCUGAUGGGACAGCACCUGGGACAACCCUCUGCCUCCGCAGCCUGCUGAGCAGCCGCCUGAGAGCCGCCUGCAAAGCCCAGCUCUCCCGGCAGCCCCCAGGUCUCGUGGGGCAGAGCAGCCCGGCUGACCUGCCCGAUGCUCAGAUGCACUGUGUUUUGGUGGGGGGGGGGGGGUCCCGGUGCAUCCUCCCUGCAUCCGCAGAGGUCCUGGGGCUUGGAUGCUCAUCCCAGCGUUGCUGAGGUCCCAAGACUUGGGCAAAGCAGGGCCUGAAGCUCAUGACUGAUUAUGCCCAGCUCCCCACAGCAUCCAGCAGAUCCCCUUCCUCCAGCAUCAGAAAUGACCCACGGACCCUGCCGCUCUCCAGAGGCCACUUUAUUCUGGGACCUGAGAUGUCAGGCAGAAAAGCGACCUCAAAAUCAGCAUCGCUUGCCUGCCACAGUCGGACGGGUCUCAUGAAUAUGCCUGGGGCUGAGCCUGCUUUCUGCAGCAGGAUACUUCAGCUAUCCCUGCCACGCCGCUGUGGCAGGUCCCCAACCGUAAAUCGAGCGUGUCAUGAGUCUGCAGCCAUGCCGGUCUCUGCUGAGUCACGCCAGCCGCUCCCAGGGCCGGGCGGCCGGCAAGCCGUGAUAAUCUGCACGGCGCAAACAGGCGCCCGGCUGGCAGCGAUAAGGGCGGCGCUCGGACCGGAGCAAUUUCUGCUGUGUCAGACUUCUGACGCGGCAGAAAAUAAUUCUGCUGAGGCAGCGUGGUGACCAGCUGAAAAAUACCUAGUGUUUUUUUUUU